rnacentral:misc_RNA from 1 species
AAGUCGUAACAAGGUUUCCGUAGGUGAACCUGCGGAAGGAUCAUUAUUGAAAUAAACCUGAUGGGUUGUUGCUGGUUCUCUAGGGAGCAUGUGCACGCCUUGUCAUCUUUAUAUCUCCACCUGUGCACUUUUUGUAGACCCUUUCAGGUCUAUGUUGCUUCAUUUACCCCAAUGUAUGUUAAUAGAAUGUUGUGCCUAUUUAAUAUAUACAACUUUCAGCAACGGAUCUCUUGGCUCUC